rnacentral:piRNA from 1 species
UGAUAAGAGAGUUUGACUUUGUAGUUCAAC